rnacentral:tRNA from 1 species
GACUCUAUGGCCCAAUGGAUAAGGUGUUGGUCUACGAAAUUAGAGAUUCUGGUUUUGAUCCCCAAUGGAGUCG